rnacentral:rRNA from 1 species
GACGAACGCUGGCGGCGUGCUUAACACAUGCAAGUCGAACGAUGAAAGAGGAGCUUGCUCCUCUGGAUUAGUGGCGAACGGGUGAGUAACACGUGAGCAAUCUGCCCCUGACUCCGGAAUAACUACGGGAAACUGUAGCUAAUACCGGAUAUGCGCCGAACAGGCAUCUGUAUCGGUGGGAAAGAAUUUCGGUCAGGGAUGAGCUCGCGGCCUAUCAGCUUGUUGGUGAGGUAACGGCUCACCAAGGCGACGACGGGUAGCCGGCCUGAGAGGGUGACCGGCCACAUGGGGAAGGAGACAGGGCCCAGCCUCCGAGGGGGGGAAGAGGGGGGAAUUAUGGCACAAGGGGCGAAAGCUGGAGGCAGCAAGCCGGGGGGGGGGAGGGCGCCCUUCGGGUGAAAACCCUUUUUAGGCGGGAAAAAAGAAAAAGGGAGGGUCCCGGAAAAAAAGGAGCCGGCUAAUUACGGC